GUGCGUGUACAAAGACACGCCUGUGCGUGUGAAGGAAAGGGUGUCAGCCCGGACAGCGCGCCCCAGACACAGAGAAGAUACGUCACAUGGGUCAAGGUUGAUUCAUGGAUGAUUGUCUGGAGGCUUUUGAAUUCAAUCUCUGGUUUCUGAUGGAUAGUGAUAGAGUGACCAUAUGGUUUGUAAUGGAAAGCCCAGCUUUAAAUGGCACACAGUGUGGAGUUUAACAGGCAGGGAGGAGUUCUGCAGAGGUGAACAGCAGCACACCAUGCAUCUCCCCAUCUGUAACUGCAUAUGCGCUACGCCUGAUUUCCCAGACCCCCUCAGCACAGACGCAAGUAAUUUGAUGCAUGAAAGCAACUGGAUCUUUGCUUUUUUAAUUGUGAAGGCACUGAUCAAAUGUGGGAACCGAUGGGGAUGGAUUGCGCCACAGAUCAGCCACCAAAAUGAAAUUUAGGCCCAGGGAAGGCUGAUUAAUGAAUGCUUGGCACGCUGACCAAAUCCUUCUCAUGGAUUCCUGCUUUUUCGUGGAACUGCCGUGGCUGACCUAGAGGUUCACAUGUAGGUAAAAUGUGCCCAUGAUGGGCCAAUAUGACCUGCAUCAAGCUUUAUUUAGUAAGAAAGCUAAAUCAGAAAGUGCUGACUCAGGAUUCAACAUUAACCAACAAAAACAAUCUUAUAAAACCAUGUGUUUACUAAGUAGAUGAUGACUCCCAACAGAUAAAACCCAUUUUAUCUUUUUGAAUGACAAAAUAGAUUGCAAUUCGCAACGAAUUGUCAGUAACGAAUACGUCAGCUGUGUAGUGCUCUAUGCAGGAGCUUACCAUGCCCGCCAAAAUGUAGAUUUUCUGGACAAAAUACUUUCCUUCAACAGGCAGUAACACAAGCCAAAUAAGAGACUAUUAGCACAAGCCAUUACUUCAGUUUAUAUACUGUAUAUAUACAUAUAUGUAGUAUAUUCAGUUUAACUGUUAGUUUGGAAUAUUGAUUUUAUUGCUUUUGAACCAGUGAAGCACCGUACUUCAUGUAUAAAUACAUGUUGACCUUAUAAAACUUGUUUUAAAAGUUAGUGUCUGCAAU